UGCGUCUUCUUUCUGCACUUGUGCAAGUUGGAGAAGGGACCUCAACCUUUGGCCUUGCUCUGGUGUGGUCAUGGACUGGUGUCAGCAAAGAGCCAGCCGUUACCCAUGCUUUCCUGGCUCCAGGGUUCAGUAGGCGACAGUCCAGCAUUAACUUGCUUUCUUAAAGGAACCUAAACCACCAGAAGAACCAGCUUCUCAGCCAGCCAAUGUAGAGCUGUCUUUUGAUACCAGCUGGGGAUGUGGAUAGAGGCAUGUUCUGCAAACAUCAGAGCAGAACACUGUAAAAGCUUCGUCCCACCUGGAAGAUCAAUUUGAAAUGGAUCCUGUGGUGUGUCAGGUGUUGUCCAGAGAGCUUGACAGUGGAAAGAACAGUGACUGUGGUACCGUUGGUCAAGCCAGUGCGUCUGUUUUUGGUAGAGCGGCUGAUGAGGCCACCGGUGCAGUGAAAUCAUAAACCCCAGAGGAAACUUCUCUGGAGAAUCCAAACAAUGUGUUUGGAGAGCUCCAGCAUGCUGAGCAGGGGCUCAGUGCCACAGCAGUACUUGGUGGCCUGCAGGUUUCCCCUCUGCCAGGCUUCGGCACAUAAACCCUCUAGAAAUUUCUCAGCAGUCAGACUGCAGCACUUACAUGCCCUACGCGUGGUUGUUUCCUGACCUGGGAGGAGUCAGCAGGGAAAGAGACCAAUGCAGAGAACAAGAUCUAAUAUGGAGCCGAUGACCUACAAUGGAGUUUCAUCAGGGACUGCGCAAAUCUGAAAUGGAAGGUGGCAGGAACUCCAGAGAAAUCACCGUCUGCCUCAGUGCAGGAGACAAAUAGAUUGGCCAGCAGAGGCAGGGAAGAAGGCAGUGGAUAACCCUGUUUCAAAGCUACUCAGCCACAAAAUGCAUGCUCAUUCUCCAAGUGCUCUUGGACAGCCCUUUCUGGACCUGUACAGACCACCUGAAGAUCGUGCUCCCUCUACCUCCUCCAGGGAGUUUCUGCUGCCAGAGGAGAGCAUAUGAGCGUCAGGGUACAGUCACUGCUGUGUCGUCUACACUGUCUUCACUCAUGUGGGGUUAAAUUGACCCCUCUGAUCCUGCACAGAGCUGAGGGAGGCAUGCACAGGUGUGGAGGCUGAGCAGUGAGGAUGGGUUCCUCACCUGAGAAGACAGGCUUACAUUGAUUCAGCUGAAGUGAAUUCUGUGGCGCAUUCUAAGCAAGCUACAAUCCAUCGAAGUCGAUCUGCACCAGUUUAACUAAUAAAUCAGCUGAAAUUUCUGAU